UUGCAGCCACACCAUGUUGAAAUACUGUAUGAUCAUCGAAGUUAAGCAACAUCGAGCCUGGUCAGUACAUGGAUGUGUGACUGUUUGGGAAUACCUGGUGCCGUAAG